rnacentral:rRNA from 1 species
UACGUAGGGGGCAAGCGUUGUCCGGAUUCAUUGGGCGUAAAGAGCGUGUAGGCGGCCAGGUAGGUCGGUUGUGAAAACUGGAGGCUCAACCUUCAGAGGUCGACCGAAACCAUCUGGCUAGAGUCCGGGAGAGGAGAGUGGAAUUCCUGGUGUAGCGGUGAAAUGCGUAGAUAUUGGGAGGAACACCAGUGGCGAAGGCGGCUCACUGGACUGGUACUGACGCUGAUGCGCGAAAGCGUGGGGAGCAAACAGG